CACGUAGGGGGCAAGCGUUGUCCGGAAUCAUUGGGCGUAAAGAGCUCGUAGGCGGCUCAGUAAGUCGGGUGUGAAACCUCCAGGCUCAACCUGGAGACGCCACCCGAUACUGCUGUGGCUAGAGUCCAGUAGGGGAGUGUGGAAUUCCCGGUGUAGCGGUGAAGUGCGCAGAUAUCGGGAGGAACACCAGCGGCGAAGGCGGUUCUCUGGGCCUGUACUGACGCUGAGGAACGAAAGCGUGGGGAGCGAACGAGGAUUGAGAU
rnacentral:rRNA from 1 species